rnacentral:rRNA from 1 species
GACGAACGCUGGCGGCGUGCCUAAUACAUGCAAGUCGAGCGGGCCUCCGGAGGUGCUUGCACCUCCGGAAGGCCAGCGGCGGACGGGUGAGUAACACGUGGGCAACCUGCCUUUGAGGCCGGGAUAACACCGGGAAACCGGUGCUAAUACCGGAUGCGUCCUCUUUCGUGCCUGCGAGAGGGGAGAAAGACGGUCUUCGGGCCGUCGCUCAAAGAGGGGCCCGCGGCGCAUUAGCUGGUUGGUGGGGUAAGGGCCUACCAAGGCGACGAUGCAUUGCCGACCUGAGAGGGUGAUCGGCCACACUGGGACUGACACACGGCCCAGACUCCUGCGGGAGGCAGCAGUAGGGAAUCAUCCGAAAUGGGCGAAAGCCUGACGGUGCAACGCCGCGUGGGUGAGGAAGGUUUUCGGAUCGUAAAGCUCUGUUGUGAGGGAAGAACAGCUUCCGGAGGAAAUGCCGGAGGUUUGCCGGUACCUCACCAGAAAGCCCCGGCUAACUACGUGCCAGCCGCCGCGGUAA